UAAAAUGUUUCUUGAAUGGGAUCUCUACCCAUCUUAUGUGAUAUAUUUGAAUUGGUAUCUCUCUUUUAACUUCUUGGAUGAUUAAAUCCAAAAAUCCUUAGUUACAGAUUUGGGGCUAGACCUUUAAGUUCAGUAUCAUCAAUGGGUGCUGCAUGCAUUAGCCUCUGCUGAUUUUAUUAUUAACAUGUUUUCUUUCUUGUGAUCUAAAAGAUAUGCAGCGAAGAAUACAAUAGGCCCACGUGCAUGUUGUUAGGUGUUCAAGUAGAGUUAUCAAUGAUUGUUUCAGACAUGACUAUGGUAUUUGUUCUGUUCCAUCUAAAUUUAGAAUCCAGGAAUCUUCUUUUUCCAAAAGAGAACUGCUGAUGUGAUUUGCAUGAGGAGAGAUUGAGGAGGUUAAUCGCCGCGUUGGCACUUUGUGGGAUCCAAGCCAUGUUCUAGGUAGGGUUUGAUGUAACAUACCUUGUUGCAAAAUCUAGGCUGGUCAAGGGAUCAGAGUUGGUGAUUAUUGGUGGACCACCGGGACCCACAAAAGAAUUUGCAACUGUCAAGGGUUAUUUCUCCAUCGAUGCAAGGCAGAGAUGACAGAUUCCCUAAGAAAGGUCAGUCUUUAUAU